UAACGCGUAGGUAACCUGCCUUGUAGCGGGGGAGUAACUAUUGGAAACGAUAGCUAAUACCGCAUAACAAUGGGUGACACAUGUCAUUUAUUUGAAAGGGGCAAUUGCUCCACUACAAGAUGGACCUGCGUUGUAUUAGCUAGUAGGUGAGGUAACGGCUCACCUAGGCGACGAUACAUAGCCGACCUGAGAGGGUGAUCGGCCACACUGGGACUGAGACACGGCCCAG
rnacentral:rRNA from 1 species